rnacentral:rRNA from 1 species
GAUGAACGCUGGCGGCGUGCCUAAUACAUGCAAGUCGAGCGAACGGACGAGAAGCUUGCUUCUCUGAUGUUAGCGGCGGACGGGUGAGUAACACGUGGAUAACCUACCUAUAAGACUGGGAUAACUUCGGGAAACCGGAGCUAAUACCGGAUAAUAUUUUGAACCGCAUGGUUCAAAAGUGAAAGACGGUCUUGCUGUCACUUAUAGAUGGAUCCGCGCUGCAUUAGCUAGUUGGUAAGGUAACGGCUUACCAAGGCAACGAUGCAUAGCCGACCUGAGAGGGUGAUCGGCCACACUGGAGCUGAGACACGGUCCAGACUCCUACGGGAGGCAGCAGUAGGGAAUCUUACGCAGUGGGCGAAAGCCUGACGGAGCAACGCCGCGUGAGUGAUGAAGAUCUUCGGAUCGUAAAACUCUGUUAUUAGGGAAGAACAGAUGUGGAAGUAACUGUGCACAUCUUGACAGUACCUAAUCAGAAAGCCACGGCUAACUACGUG